CUACUCAGGCGCCGCCCUGCGCACAUGCGCGUUAGACACUACCCACGACUGGCCCUUUAAGGUGGGCUGUGAGUGGGCGGGGCACUGCGGAGGAUCGCGCCUCCACGCGAUGAUGAGGGCAGCACGUUUGCGUGCCGCCGUGACGCAGUGGUUGCCGCAGAAACGCUCCGCUCCCCCCGCGCGGUGCGGUUCGCAGUGGAGCUGCCGGGAGGCGCCUGUCACCUUCAGCGCGGGCCGGAGCGGGCGGGAGACGCUGCGGCGGCGGGGCCGCCAUGGUGCUAAUCAAGGAGUAGUCUUCUCCACUCAGAUUACUGGAUUCUUUGGAAUAUUUUAGGUAUAAAGCUAUUCUUCCACCUUUGACCUAUUCUGGCUUCCUGUAUAGUUUAUACUCAGGUAUUAUUGUCCCAGGUCAUAAUUAAGGGUGGUGGGUUUUUUUUGUGUGGUCAUCUCAUCAUAUUUCAGUAAUGAUUAUUAUGUCACGCUCCUAUUCCAUUACCAGGCAAUUCUAGUUCAUCUAUCUUUGUUUUGAAGUUUCUUUAAUUGCUAUAUAGAUAUCUGUAGUUUCUGUUUUUGACCAUAUCCCUAUUUGUAUUUAACUCCUUAAUUUGGUGCUCUAUUAUAUUCUGGAAAAUACUUCUGUGACCUUAACCGGUCCGUGCUUCUGGUCAGCUGUCAUUUCUGUGUUAUCCUUUACUGAAUGCAGAGUUACCUUUAUAUUAGUCACUACCCAAAAGCUCUUACAAUCUGAAUAGAAAGAGCACUCAGGCUAGCGAGAGAGUGGGAGACCCAGAGGAUGGUCUGAAUUUGGAGCACAGCCCUUUUUCUUUAAGCACCUAAUGUAUAGGUGACUGUGCUUUUACUGAAGCAAGCUGGUAUUGGUGGGCAUCCUGGAAGGAGGAAUUAGAAUAAAGAGUGGGUGGGCAAGGGAGGGAAUUCCA
rnacentral:lncRNA from 1 species